AUUCAGAAAAGCUGUUGUGAGGAAAAAAAAAAAAGAAAAAAGAAACCAAACAUCUCUAUAUUCCAAUGGUUCUGUUUCCAUGCUGGCUACGAAAGGAGUUGCCCACAAGCUGUCCAUGGUUGUAGUUGUGCUGAGAGCAAGCAGCUUCCACAAUCGACCUGAAGAAACCCCUUAAAAGUGCACGCCUGCCCCAUCUUGUGACCGAUAUGCUUCAUUAUCUCCUUUUGUACUUUGCCCAGAGGUUGCUUCCAUCAUUACAGACCUUUCACAUGUGCUGCUGGCCUCAGAUCGCAGGUGGUUUCUUUGCAUGCACUGUAAUCGACGCUCUUGUUGGUGAGCUCCUUGGAAGGCUCAGCAGCAGCACGCAGCUUAUCAAACCCUGUAGGGAUGCAGCCAGCAAGAAAUGGAAAGUGAAAUGUCCCAAGUCUGCUGCAUGCAGCUGUGCCUUCUGCUUGGAUUCCAAACUGUCACUGCUGCCAAUCCGUAUCUUUGUCAGAACUGAAUAAAAACAAAACCAACCCUAACAAAUUAGCAUUCAGUAGUGUGCAAACAGGAAACUUGAAACACGUCGAAUGUUUGGAAAUAACAGGUUCCUCUAAAGGAACCAGUUGAUGUAAGUUUAUGGGAUUGAGGAACCAGCAACAACAGGUUUUACAGGCUAAAAUGGAUCUGCGUCA
rnacentral:lncRNA from 1 species